rnacentral:rRNA from 1 species
GUGGGGAAUCUUCCGCAAUGGACGAAAGUCUGACGGAGCAACGCCGCGUGAGUGAUGAAGGUCUUCGGAUUGUAAAGCUCUGUUAAUCGGGACGAAAGAGCCUAGUGUGAAUAAUGCUAGGAAGUGACGGUACCGGAAUAGAAAGCCACGGCUAACUACGUGCCAGCAGCCGCGGUAAUACGUAGGUGGCAAGCGUUGUCCGGAAUUAUUGGGCGUAAAGCGCGCGCAGGCGGAUCUGCCAGUCUGUCUUAAAAGUUCGGGGCUUAACACCGUGAUGGGAUGGAAACUACAGAUCUAGAGUAUCGGAGAGGAAAGUGGAAUUCCUAGUGUAGCGGUGAAAUGCGUAGAUAUUAGGAAGAACACCAGUGGCGAAGGCGACUUUCUGGACGAAAACUGACGCUGAGGCGCGAAAGCCAGGGGAGCGAACGGGAUUAGAAACCCUUGUAGUCC